rnacentral:rRNA from 1 species
AUGAACGCUGGCGGCGUGGAUAAGGCAUGCAAGUCGAGUGGGUUUAGACCCACGGCGAACGAGGUAGUAACACGUAGGUACGUACCCCCGAGUCGGGCAUAACCAGCCGAAAGGUUGGAUAAUUCCCGAUAGUCUCUUCGGAGUAAAGUUUUAACGCUUGGGGAGCGGCCUGCGGAAUAUCAGCUAGUUGGUAAGGUAAUGGCUUACCAAGGCUAUGACGUUUAGGGGAGCUGAGAGGCUGACCCCCACCGAUGGUACUGAGACACGGACCAUACACCUACGGGUGGCUGCAGUCGAGAAUCUUCCACAAUGGGCGAAAGCCUGAUGGAGCGACGCCGCGUGAUGGAUGAAGUCCUUCGGGACGUAAACAUCUUUUACCGGGGAGAAAAUUUUGAUAGUACCCGAUGAAUAAGGGGUUGCUAAACUCGU